rnacentral:misc_RNA from 1 species
AACUUUUAACAAUGUAUCUCUUGGCUCUCGCAUCGGUUAAGAACGCAGCGAAAUGCGAUAAGUAAUGUGAAUUGCAGAAUUCAGUGAAGCAUCGAAUUUUUGAACGCACCUUGCGCUCCCUGGUAUUCCGGGGAGCACGCCUGUUCGAGGGUCGUGAAAUUCUCAAACUGAGAUGCUUUUUUGUUUCUCGGCUUUGGGUUCGGCUUUGCAGUCCCCUUUGAUUGGGAUGGCUGGCCUGAAAAGCAUUAGCUGGCUUUUCAUGUGGCAUUGGUUCUACUCAGCGUGAUAAUGAUCUGACCGCCGAGGACAUCUUUCGAGAUGGCCAAUUCUCAUUUGGGCUGCUUCUAAUCUUGGUCGAGCAGAUUCUGAAUCUGUUCCACUUUUCAACUUUUGACCUCGAAUCAGGUGGGACUACCCGCUGAACUUAAGCAUAUCAAUAAGCGGAGGCU